AAGGAAGAGACUCCAGCUUCUCUUCUGCCAUCCUCUCAUCACUGGACUAAUUCAAUGUGACAAACUUCCUGAGGAUGCCCACUUUGAACAAGGACAGAUGUACCAAUGUCCAAUAUUCCCAUCCCUCCAGCAAGAACUGAAGGAUUUCUUAUGGGUACUUCACUGUCAGGCUACUAAUGACAUCAGCCACAAUCUGGGCAGUGUAUUUUACACUCCACAAUUUUCGAUUCCACAUAUGAAGUCGCAUGAUAUUUGUCUGCACCAGAGGUAACCUCACAUGAAGUCAUAGUAACAGUGUCAUGAAAACCUGAGAUUAAGAAACAGAAAAAGGCUGAAUAUGAAGAAACAAUAGAAGAAGAGUUUGUAAAUACAUAGAUAUUAGAUUUUCUGAUUAUCUUCAUUUGAAAGCAAUGA
rnacentral:lncRNA from 1 species